CUACGGGCGGCUCCAGUGGGGAAUAUUGCACAAUGGAGGAAACUCUGAUGCAGCAACGCCGCGUGGAGGAUGACACUUUUCGGAGCGUAAACUCCUUUUAUAUAGGAAGAAGAUGACGGUACUAUAUGAAUAAGCGCCGGCUAACUCCGUGCCAGCAGCCGCGGUAAUACGGAGGGCGCAAGCGUUACUCGGAAUCACUGGGCGUAAAGAGCGUGUAGGCGGAUUAAAAAGUCAGAAGUGAAAUCCUAUAGCUUAACUAUAGAACUGCUUCUGAAACUCUUAAUCUAGAAUAUGGGAGAGGUAGAUGGAAUUUCUGGUGUAGGGGUAAAAUCCGUAGAGAUCAGAAGGAGUACCGAUUGCGAAGGCGAUCUACUAGAACAUUAUUGACGCUGAGACGCGAAAGCGUGGGGAGCAAACAGGGUUAGAUACCCCAGUAGUC
rnacentral:rRNA from 1 species